rnacentral:tRNA from 1 species
ACCUCGAUGGCUAAGUGGGUAAUGCAAUGAGUUGAGACCCAUCGGAAGUUUCCAGUGCGGGUUCGAGUCCUGCUUAAGGCA